GUAUACUUGCUUCGGCGGUACAUAUACAAAAAAUUGGAACGAUACAGAGAAGAUUAGCAUGGCUCCUGC